rnacentral:rRNA from 2 species
UUCCUACGGGGGGCUGCAGUGGGGAAUAUUGGACAAUGGGCGAAAGCCUGAUCCAGCCAUGCCGCGUGAGUGAUGAAGGCCCUAGGGUUGUAAAGCUCUUUCACCGGUGAAGAUAAUGACGGUAACCGGAGAAGAAGCCCCGGCUAACUUCGUGCCAGCAGCCGCGGUCAUACGAAGGGGGCUAGCGGUGUUCGGAAUUACUGGGCGUAAAGCGCACGUAGGCGGAUAUUUAAGUCAGGGGUGAAAUCCCGGGGCUCAACCCCGGAACUGCCUUUGAUACUGGAUAUCUUGAGUCCGAGAGAGGUGAGUGGAAUUCCGAGUGUAGAGGUGAAAUUCGUAGAUAUUCGGAGGAACACCAGUGGCGAAGGCGGCUCACUGGCUCGGUACUGACGCUGAGGUGCGAAAGCGUGGGGAGCAAACAGGAUUAGAUACCCCUGUAGUC